rnacentral:tRNA from 1 species
GGAGAUGUGGCAGAGUGGUCGAAUGCACUUGUCUUGAAAACAAGCGUGCUGCGAGGUACCGGGGGUUCGAAUCCCUCCAUCUCCGC